GCUGGCGUAGCUCAGUUGGUAGAGCAGCGGUUUUGUAAACCGCAGGUCGCAGGUUCGAUCCCUGUCGCCAGCUCCA
rnacentral:tRNA from 1 species